AUAAACACCUAGUAAUCCGACUCAAAAAUCCAACAAAAAACAUGCAUAAACAUCUAGUAAUCCGACACAAUGUUCAUAUUUUAGCUGCUUUGAAUCGAUUUUUGCUCUACUUAUCAUUGAAGUUAUAAAUUCGUUUCAGGACAGUAGCAAAUGGCAUUCCACUGGACGGAAAGCUCAACUUCAAGUAAAGAUCAAUAUUGUCGGGGAUUGCCUUACUUUGUUUUAAAAUAAAUACACGGCAUAAAAAAUCACGUUGGCUUUGGUGAUAAUAUAGCUUCGAACCAUUGGCACGGGUUGGAUUUCAUGCCGGCGGAUUCAAUUCCACAGAUCUUAACAUUUUGUUUAAGGAUUUGUGAUUCCAUAAGCUGCAUGUUUACAGCCUGUCUCAAAACUUAAACAAUUUUUUCGAUAUGAAUUAUAAGUAUAUAACCUGUGAAAGGACCAAUGCGAUUUAUCGAGUUUUUGUGAUGAUUUAUAAAAUAAAACAAAUAUUUAUGGAUCAAGCUAAUUAUGCAAUCAUAAAAAAAUGGAGUGUGAAAUUUCGUUGCGUUAGCACAUUGUUUUGGGUUUUUUAGGAAACUCAACUAUUUGAUUUAACACGGCUUGCUGUGUACAAAACUGGC